ensembl:misc_RNA Metazoa_SRP Metazoan signal recognition particle RNA
GCUGGGUGUGGUGGCGAGCACCUGUGGUCCCACUAUCAGGAGGCUGAGAUGGGAGGGUCGCUUGAGCCCAGGAGCUCAGGGCUGCAGUGAGCCAUGAUCAUGCCACUGCACUCCAGCCUGGGCAGCAGAGCAAGAUCCUGUCUCAA